ACGGGUGAGUAACGCGUAGGUAACCUGCCUGGUAGCGGGGGAUAACUAUUGGAAACGAUAGCUAAUACCGCAUAACAUUGACUAUUGCAUGAUAGUCAAUUGAAAGGUGCAAUUGCAUCACUACCAGAUGGACCUGCGUUGUAUUAGCUAGUUGGUGGGGUAACGGCUCACCAAGGCGACGAUACAUAGCCGACCUGAGAGGGUGAUCGGCCACACUGGGACUGAGACACGGCCCAGACUCCUACGGGAGGCAGCAGUAGGGAAUCUUCCGCAAUGGGCGAAAGCCUGACGGAGCAACGCCGCGUGAGUGAAGAAGGAUUUCGGUUCGUAAAGCUCUGUUGUUAGGGAAGAAUGAUUGUAUAGUAACUAUAUACAGUAGAGACGGUACCUAACCAGAAAGCCACGGCUAAAUACGUGCCAGCAGCCGCGGUAAUACGUAUGUCGCGAGCGUUAUCCGGAAUUAUUGGGCAUAAAGGGCAUCUAGGCGGCCUUUCAAGUCAGGGGUGAAAACCUGCGGCUCAACCGCAGGCCUGCCUUUGAAACUGAUAGGCUGGAGUACCGGAGAGGUGGACGGAACUGCACGAGUAGAGGUGAAAUUCGUAGAUAUGUGCAGGAAUGCCGAUGAUGAAGAUAGUUCACUGGACGGUAACUGACGCUGAAGUGCGAAAGCCGGGGGAGCGAACAGGAUUAGAUACCCUGGUAGUCCCGGCCGUAAAC
rnacentral:rRNA from 1 species